UGUUAUGGAAGCCGUGUCACCAUCAAGGU
rnacentral:sRNA from 1 species